CCUGCGAUAGGAGUGUGUGCAGCAGGAGCCUGUCCCUGUUGGAUGAGCCCUGUCUGGGCCAGCUUGAGCACCUUCAGCUCGGCUGGAUAAGGAGGCCAAAACCUGAAGCCUCAGAGACCAGGAGUAAAGUGUUCCCUGGACAAAGCUAG